rnacentral:rRNA from 1 species
GAUGAACGCUGGCGGCGUGCCUAAUACAUGCAAGUCGAGCGAACAGACGAGGAGCUUGCUCCUCUGACUUUAGCGGCGGACGGGUGAGUAACACGUGGAUAACCUACCUAUAAGACUGGGAUAACUUCGGGAAACCGGACCUCAUACCGGAUAAUAUAUUGACCCGCAUGGUUCAAUAGUGAAAGACGGUUUUGCUGUCACUUAUAGAUGGAUCCGCGCCGCAUUAGCUAGUUGGUAAGGUAACGGCUUACCAAGGCAACGAUGCGUAGCCGACCUGAGAGGGUGAUCGGCCACACUGGAACUGAGACACGGUCCAGACUCCUACGGGAGGCAGCAGUAGGGAAUCUUCCGCAAUGGGCGAAAGCUUGACGGAGCAACGCCGCGGGAGUGAUGAAGGUCUUCGGAUCGUAAAACUCUGUUAUUAGGGAAGAACAAAUGUGUAAGUAACUAUGCACGUCUUGACGGUACCUAAUCAGAAAGCCACGGCUAACUACGUG